AUUAGUUGCACGGUUAGCUUAUAAGUUGAGAUGGGAUGUCGAUCAUCUUUUUUUUUUUGAACCAGUUAUGUUGCUUGGAUGAGUGACCCAUACGAGGAUAAAAACAAUAAUGUUAACAAUUGAAGUUAGCGAACCUUUGUUAAUUCUUACUACACUUUUAAUUUCUGAAGUCAUUAUACUACAUCCAAAAAAUUGUUAGUAUAAAGCUAUUGAAGUUAUCACAUGGCAAACAUCCAUGUAAGACAUGAUAGUCGCGUGACAGAGAAGAAUUUAACACACAGCACACGGAAUGUAGAAUACUGCGUAGUACUCCCUCCAUCCC
rnacentral:lncRNA from 1 species